rfam:Ruegeria sp. ANG-S4 contig_5, whole genome shotgun sequence.
GCGUCCGACUCCAAGCUGCCCGACAUGCAGGCCGGGUGGGAGCAGAUGUGUUCUAACGUCAUGGCCGGCUUGUCCGGGGUCAACAUGGUCUAUGAGGCGG